rnacentral:rRNA from 1 species
GUGGGGAAUAUUGGACAAUGGGCACAAGCCUGAUCCAGCCAUGCCGCGUGAGUGAUGAAGGCCUUAGGGUUGUAAAGCUCUUUCAGUAGGGAAGAUAAUGACGGUACCUACAGAAGAAGCCCCGGCUAACUUCGUGCCAGCAGCCGCGGUAAUACGAAGGGGGCUAGCGUUGUUCGGAUUUACUGGGCGUAAAGCGCACGUAGGCGGAUUGGUCAGUUAGAGGUGAAAUCCCGAAGCUCAACUUCGGAACUGCCUUUAAUACUGCCAGUCUCGAGUCCGGAAGAGGUGAGUGGAACUCCUAGUGUAGAGGUGGAAUUCGUAGAUAUUAGGAAGAACACCAGUGGCGAAGGCGGCUCACUGGUCCGGUACUGACGCUGAGGUGCGAAAGCGUGGGGAGCAAACAGGAUUAGAUACCCCGGUAGUCC